ACCAGGCAAAAUACGUUUCAG
rnacentral:rRNA from 1 species